UCCAGCAGCUGCACAGGGAGCAGCAGCCCCCGGCCUUCGACCCACGAGGUAGGAAACCUUGCUUUUCCAAAAGGUCAGGAAAAGUGACUGCUUAAGUAUUUUUCCACGAGGCUCUGUCAUUCUCGGUCAGAAAUUGUCAAGCCUAUUAGCAAGCGGCACCUCGAAGGCUGCCAAAAAAUUCUCUGCCUGCUUUUCCUGCAUGCUACCUAUGAUGGUUGAUCCAAGGCAGCAGUAGAGAUCUGUGUCCCAGAGCCACAUUGUGGAGCCUGACCAAUGUGUUUGGAUUCUUGCAGCCACCCCGGGCACUUCUGCACCCAGUGCUCCAGCUGGCAGUGCUGCUUGUGCAGCAUCGACGGCCUCCAGCUCAGGACACAACACACCUGGGGCAGAGGGAUGGCCAUCAGCAGAUCUCGGCCUUGCUGUACUGCAAAUGAUCCGGGAGAUCAGGAGAUCCCUGCCCGAAAGGUCUCCCUCUGCUCAGGAUGAUGUUAGUGUUGCCCCUGAGUCUUCAGGAGGGGAGCCUGUAGACAGAGCUGCAGCAGAGGAAAUUUCAUCUGACACGGAGAGCUGCAGGAACAGUUCCCCAGAGCCCGAGGAGCCUGAUCCCAUGUGAUCGACCUCUCCAGGAGGGCAGGAAGAGACAGAGGGAGAGCCUGGAACAUCGGGCAAGUUGAAUUCCUCUGUCUCUAGUUAUAUUUAUAGAUGUAUAUAGUUAUGUUUAUUUAUCUAGGUAGUGUAUUUAUAGAUUUAUGUAAUUAUAUUUAUGUAUCUACACAGAUAGAGAUCUGCACAGUUAAUUUCUUUUUCAUUUUAGAUGUUUAUCGUUAUAGCUUUAGAUGUGUUUUUGUAGGUGUGCACGUUUUCAUUUAUACGUGUGUAUAAUUACAUGUACAUAUAUAUAUUUCUAAAUGCAUAUUUCUAUUUUAUAUGGGGUUUUAGCUACAUAGAUUGAUAUGUGUGUGAGCCUCUUUUUAAGCUCUUACCCUGGUCUGCUUCCUCACUCACCUCUGGCUUUUCCCCCU